UGAGUAACACGUAUCCAACCUGCCGUCUACUCUUGGCCAGCCUUCUGAAAGGAAGAUUAAUCCAGGAUGGCAUCAUGAGUUCACAUGUCCGCAUGAUUAAAGGUAUUUUCCGGUAGACGAUGGGGAUGCGUUCCAUUAGAUAGUAGGCGGGGUAACGGCCCACCUAGUCAACGAUGGAUAGGAGUUCUGAGAGGGAGGUCCCCCACAUUGGAACUGAGACACGGUCCAA
rnacentral:rRNA from 1 species